rnacentral:lncRNA from 1 species
UGGUACCUUGUCUCAAAACACCCUAAUAUACGCUAGCAUAACGCCACCGUUCCUCCACUGUCUCCCACCGUCCACCGCCAGCUGGAAAUUGCCUCUGCCGCCGGCAAUACUCCGAUGACCCCCAAAACUACACCACAUCACAUCCUCGACCUCCUCUUUCCAUUUCUGUCAUUAGUGUCCCUCGAACAUAAGCCAAUCUUGUCGAACAAUUGUUUGAAUCGAUGGCUGCUCGCCGCACACCGCGGCGCCGAUGGCAAAUGACUCCAAAAAACCAUAGGUUCUCCGAACCUCCCUCAUCCCAAAUCUGUAAACCUUAGCCCUCGAAUGUCAGCCGAGCUCCUCGAAUGUUAAAUUGAAAUCUCCGGCCAAAUCUCACCAACCUCCAAACCUCUUCAAAAUCAUACCCUAUGGUCUCCUUGAUCGCCUCACCCCAAAUUCCAAACUAAAAUCCCUCAAACCCGGUUGGAAUCCCACCAAUUUUGGAUCUUGGGUUUCAUUUUAAAGAGGUCUAACCCUGAAUGGAUUUUUAAAUAUGCAAGUGAUCCCAAGUUAAUGUGAUUUGUUUGUUUUUGGCAAAAUAAACAUAUAACAUUAGCUUAGGAUCAAAUACAAGGUCAAUUCAAGUUGCGACCUAAAAAAGUGAGUUCUGAUCCUUUUCUUUCUUUCUUUGUUCUUUCUUUUUAUUUGCAUGUUUCUUCUGUCGUUCCUUUGCAUAUUUUCUUUUGCUUUUGGUUGAAUUAGAAUUUUUUGAUUUAGGUCUCUGAUUUUCAUAUAUUACAGCCGUAUAGUGUUAGUUUGUCCAUAUUUUGGAUUUGAUUAUGUGUUUUGACUUUGAGUAAAUGUCCAUGCUUGCCACUGAUUUUCUUUAGAUUUUUAGUAUUAUAGUUUUAUUGACCAUAUACUGGCUGUUAAUUUUCCCUAGAUUUUAGUUAGUUUCAUAGUACAACUGCAUGUGUGAGUUAUUAAUUUGUUCAUCUAUUUCUUCUGUUAGUUCAGUGAUUAGUUCAAGUGAUAAAAAACAGCUUUAAUACAUGGCACUAUUUAGAGUUAAUUUUCAGGUAGGUUAGUUAGAUUAGUUCAGUCUUUAGGAUUCGUUUUGGUAUGGCUGAGCAUGACCAGAUUAGUUUUAAAUUAACCUUAGUCAUUGUUGAUCAAGUUCAAGGGCUUAGGAUUAAUUGACUUAGCCUUAAGUUAAUCACUAACUCAAUUAAGCUACUCCUGCAAUUAUUUCUUUAGGUUUUAGUUUUCAAAUCUAGGUAAAUAACCUAUUUAGAUUGGGAAUGGUCUUUGACCCAAUUGGCUAAGCUUCAGCCUAUCCAAAUUGGAUUUGGGCCACUGGGUCAGACCUUGGCCCAUUUGAGGAAGGUCUCAGGGGUAUAUAUUGGUUAUCUCAAGGGUAGUUUGGGUAGUUUACAUAAAGGAUCUUGCAGUAACCAAUUUGGAACACCCUAGAACCUUCUAGAUUAGGUUUUAAUUAGAAUUUCAGAAAGUUAGUGGUAUAACUUGGGCAACAAGCCAAUAACUAAGGGACUAACUAAGCAAGAACUGAAAAUAAAGGAGGGACUUAGGUUGUAAAGUGAAAUCUGAAAGUUGCCAUCGGCUUUGCCUAUAAAAGGGAUACCCUUUGCCUUGUUUUAGGGGAUUUUUGGAUUUUUAUUAUUUUUGGCCUAAAAAAAAUUCUGAAAAAAAUCACAUAAAAAAAAUUCUUAGAGGUCAGAGAUCCAAAAUUUAAAAAAAAUAAAUCAAUAUCCCGUUGAGUUUUCUUAGGGAGAUCCUGAAGUUCUAAGUUCUGAGUUAGAUUUCCAGCUUAUCUAAGGGUUGAAAAUGGCUUGAAUUCUCGGGUGAUUCAGUAAUCGUGGUUUUCAGAAGUUCCUGGAGUCAUUCCUGGGUUUACUUGAGUUUAUUCAAGUUGUUUUUUUUUGUGUUGUUCAUUGGUGUUAUUUGAGUAAAAUUACUGCCUGGGCUACCUGAUAGUAUUUUCUGGGUGGAAUUACUUCAAAACUGCUGUUAAUUGCUGUGUGCUGCUGCUACUUAGCCGAACUUCGAUUUUUCUCUCAUUUUUGUUCAAAUUCUAGGUACACAUUAUGUAGCUCUCAAGUUUGGAAAUAAAAAUGAAAUGCUGCCUGAUUUCCUUGUUGAUUUUCACUGUUGUGUUUUUAGGAGUUUCAGAACUUCAGUAGAUCUUCAUUUGUAACUGAACUGUUCAGGACUGUAUAAUACUUUAAAAGAUUCCAUUUCCUUCUCAUAAUCAUAUGAACAUUGCAUUUAGAAGUGUUAUAUUCAAAUUAGAUUGAGUUUGAUGUUUAUGUUACCGUGUAUUAGUUUGAAAUCAGAAAUUCAAAAGCAGUGUGUUGAUUCAAAAAUGAUGUGUUAAUUCAAAAUCAGAAGUUAGCCAUGGUUUCGCCUAUGAUUCUAAUGUUAGAAGUCACUCGAAUGAGCUGGAAAUUUUCAGUUGUUUAAGCCUAGGAAUGUAAUGGCCUUGUUUGAAUCUCAUGUUAUAUAGUUCAUUAGUCUAUUAGAUACAUAUGACUCAUAUUCUAUUUGUAUACUUGUAUGAGAGGUUUUAUCUCAAACGUACAUCAUCAGUUGUUCUUUCAAAUUUUAAGCUGUGUUUCCAACGAACCAGAAAUUAAGUCUGGAUAUUGGUUUGUAAAUUAAAAUUUGCAGUUUAAAUCAUUCAUUACUUAUGCUUAAUAUUUUUACAUCUUGGUCAAAUAAUUAGUACAUGUGCUUAGCUAAAGCAGCUUUGAAUUUAAAAUGCUUGUUAAAUCGGAUUUGUCUGCUUAGUUAACUUGUAUCACAUGAUUUGAAUGAUUUUCAGGAACCUGUUAAUUAGCCUUCCUAUUUCAUGAGAACGUGUGCUUUAGUAUUGUAUUUUGGACCAUGGUUUUAUCAGGUCACGAGAACCAGGCCUAAUGAAGGCCCAGUCAUGACCGGUGCCAUUUUGAGUGUACAUCUUUGGGCUUGGCUCCAAUUGGCGCCCAUUUUAUAUCUCAAAUUUCAUCUAAAGUAGGAAUGUAUUUGUAUUGAUGGUUGGACCUUUGGUUCAUUCAUGCUGAGCCCAAAGAUUGAGCCCCAUAAGUUAUUUUCACACCUGAAUCACAGAUGGAUCUGAGUACUGUGGCUUGUUUGGGCCACUGGCAUACUUAGUUAUAGUUAAUUGAUUAGGACUCAUUUCAACAAUUGGUUUUAGUCCAUAACUAGAUCACAAAUAGUUCAGGGCAUUCCAUGUGCUAAUAUAAAUGUCCUUUUAAAAUAAAUAUGACUUGCGCCGCGCUAAAUAAAAAUCAUAAAUUGCGUGGCCCUCUUUAAUUAUCUCCAUUAAAAUAUUUAGAAAUUGGGCGGCCAUUUAGCGAAUUUUCAUGGCCUCCCGCAAAGUUAAUAAUGUGUUAGUCGCUUUAGGAACGCUCCUUAAUAAUUUUACCUUCCUAAAUUCUGGUCCGCAUUUAUGUGACCCAAAUUCAAAUCUCAACGGUGUUAAAAGUUAUCAAAAAUCACGGGUGCAUUUAUGUGACGUGAUUCGGGACGCAUUUUAAUAUUGUUGCAAUCUUCCUCAAAAAUUCAAUUAAAAGCAGUAAGUAAUUUUAAAAUUGCACUAUAGGAUAAACAUGUCUAAAAUCAUAUAAUUAGCCAAAUAUGAUAGUUUAAGCGAUCGUGCUAGAACCACGGAAUCUGAGGGUACCUAACACAUUCCCUUGGGUUAAUAGAACUCAUUACUCAAGAACUUCUGGUUCGCAGACCUCAAUCGGAAAUUCGAAAAUUUCCUCGCUUUUGGAUUCAAGAUAAAUCGAUGACUUGGGACACCAAAAUCCAAACCUAUCCCAAAUGGAGACUCUGAAAUAAAUAAAUAAUCCAAAUUCGAAUAAUGUCACUUAUAGUGGAAAAAUUCCCUUAUGCAUUUAUCCUACGAGGUAGGUGUGUAAAAAAGGAGGUGUUAAAAAGAAGUCAACAAUGAAAGGCCUACAAAGGCGAAAUAAAGAUGGAAAAGGUUAAGUCCCACGCGACUAGCCGUUGCAGCAAAGUUUGAGGAGACAAAAGUUCCCAAUGUUCCGAAGAAAAGAAAAGAAAAGAAAAAGAAAAAAAACGACAAUCAGAAAGGAAAGGCCUACGAAGGCAAAAUAAAGUUGAAAGCUGAGUUCUACCGACCAACCAUCAUGGAAAAGUCUGAAAAACAUUAGAGGUUCUCCAGAGCCUGAUAUGAAUCAAUCCUUAGGGAGCAAAUAGUAGCAGCAGAGGAUCUCAAUAGAAGUUGGGCCGGGAUCAAGCAAUCAAGGCCACAGAACCAACCACCAUCUCAAACUAACAAUUGUUAUUUGUUGAAAAUUGAAACAGGUGCGAUACGAGAAACCGUGUAAAAGCAGGUGCAGUCAAAAGGAAAAUGCGCAAGUGACGAAACAGCUUCGCAGAAAAUAAUCAAUGCAAAAGGGAAGUUUCCUCCAAGUUAUUUCCUGCAUCUUAUUAAAAUAAAAAGGAGGAAGAAGAUGACAAAAGAGGGAAAACCCCAAAAAAGAAUAGUUUAGAAUUCCCAGUACCAACCUUUAGCCAACAUUAGGGCUCAAAUCCCUGAGUUGAGCGUUUUUCUUUUAGCUAACAUUAGGGCUUCAAUCCCUGAGUUGAGCGUUUUUCUUUUAGCUAACAUUAGGGCUUCAAUCCUGAGUUGAGCAUUUUUUCUUUAGCCAACAUUAGGGCUCCAAUCCCCGAGUUGAGCGUUUUUCCCUUUAGCCAACAUUAGGGCUCCAAUCUCUGAGUUGAGAGUUUUUCCUUAGCCAACAUUACGGCUCCAAUCCCAGAGUUGAGCGUUUUUCCUUUUAGCCAACAUCAGGGUUCGAAUCCCUGAGUUGAUCGCUUUCCCUUAGCCAAUAUUAGUGCUCCAAUCCUUGAGUUGAGCAUUUUUCCUUUAGCCAACAUUAGGGCUCCAAUCCCUGAGUUGAUCGUUUUUCCUUAGCCGACAUUAGGGCUCCAAUACCUGAGUUUAGCUUUUUUUCCAUAGCCAACAUCAGGGCUCCAAUCCCUGAGCUGAGAGUUUUUCCUUAGCCAACAUUAGGGAUCCAACCCCUGAGUUGAGCAUUUUUCCUUAGCCAAUAUUAGGGCUCAAAUCCAUGAGUUCAGCGUUUUUUCUUAGCCAACAUUAGGGCUCCAAUCCCUAAGUUGAGCGUUUUCCUUAGCCAACAUUAAUGCUCCAAUUCUUGAGUUGAGCAAUUUUCCUUACCCGACAUUAAGGCUCAAAUCCCAAAGUUAAGAGUUUUUUCUUAGCCAACAUCAGGGCUCGAAUACCUGAGUUGAGCAUUUUUUCCUUUAGCCAACAUUAGGGAACCAAUCCAUAAGUUGAGCGUUUUCCUUAGCCUACAUUAGGGCUCCAAUCCCUGAGUUGAGCGUUUUUCCCCUUAGCCAACAUUAGGGCUCCAAUCCCUAAGUUGAGCGUUUUUCCUUAGCCAAUAUUAGGGCUCUAAUCCCUGAGUUGAGCGUUUUUUCUUUAGCCAACAUUAGGGCUCCAAUCUUUGAAUUGAGCAUUUUUCCCUUUAGCCAACAUUAAGGCUCCAAUCCAUGAGUUGAGCAUUUUUUCUUUAGCCAACAUUAGGGCUCUAAUCCCUGAGUUGAGCGUUUUUCCCCUUAGCCAACAUUAGUGCUCCAAUCCCUGAGGUGAGCGUUUUCCCUUUAGCCAACAUUAGAGCUCCAAUCCCUGAGUUGAGCAUUGUUCCCUUUAGCCAAUAUUAGGGCUCCAAUCCCUGAGUAGAGUGUUUUUCCUUAGCCAACAUUAGGGCUCUAAUCCCUGAGUUGAGCGUUUUGUUUUUCUUAGCCAACAUUAGGGCUCCAAUCCCUGAGUUGAGCGUUUUUUCCUUUAGCCAACAUUAGGGCUCCAAUCCCUGAGUUGAGCAUUUUUCCCUUUAGCCAACAUUAGCGCUCCAAUCCCAGAGUUGAGCGUUUUUCUUUAGCCAACAUUAGGGAUCCAAUCCCCGAGUUGAGUGUUUUUUUUCUUAGCCAACAUUAGGGCUCUAAUCCUUGAGUUGAGCAUUUUUUUCCUUAGCCUAAAUUAGGGAUCCAAUCCCUGAGUUGAGCAUUUUUUCCUUUAGCCAACAUUAGGCCUCCAAUCCCUGAGUUGGAUGUUUUUUUCAUUUAGCAACCAUUAGGACUCCAAUCCUUGAGUUGAGCGUUUUUUACUUUAGCCAACAUUAGGGCUCCGAUCCAUGAGUUGGGCUUUUUUCUUUUAGCCAACAUUAAGGCUCCAAUCCCUGCGUUGACGUUUUCGCGACAGGACUCUGCCCCAAUUUAUCCUAUCAUAGACAAAUACAAUUCUUUAGAAUGAAAAAAAAAAGAAAAAGAAAAAGUUCAGAUUUUUGUCAGAAAUAACUCACCAAAUUUUUCUAGUGAAAAACUGGGGCAGAAAAUUUUGUUGUUUGUUAUUUGAGCAUGUUUGACCUCGAAGCACAGGGUCCGAGACAACUGAAAGGAUGAGUCUCAAUCCAGAAUAAAGGAAAGAAGAAAAAGAACAAAAGAUGUGAAUUCAAAAGAUGAAACGAACAUGGAUGCGAGCUGAUUAAAACUUGAUUGAAAUCACAAGCUCCGCAUGUCCCGCUAUGAAUUCAAAUCCUAAAGCGAACAUGGAUGCGAGCUGAUCAAAACUUUGAUUGAAAUCAUAAACUCCACUGGUCUCGCCUCGAUCCGAUGUUGAAGAAAGAUCCAACACCUACAGCGUGCGAGCAUCAAGAUUCAAAUCGGAGUCCACAGCAAAAACAUCUAAGACUUAAAAUUAAAUUGUAAGAGAAUAGAUAGGAAUAUUGUAACUCAUAGUUGAUAGGCAUAGCUAGCUUAGUUUUUGAUUUUCCUUUUAGUAUAAUAAGGAGGUCAACAAGCAGUAGCAGCAGCAGCAGCAGUGAAACCACAGCUUCGGUAGUCCCAACUACCACACUCCUGACCUACACUGACCUGAUUCCUCUUUAGCCGAGGAUAUGUAGGUAAUCUCUGAAGUAGGGUGCGGUCAAGCUUUUCAAAAUGCUUCUCAUGGAGUAUCAAGCAUGCAAAAAUCUCUCAUGAUUGCUCAUUUAUCUUUGCCCGAAGACCCUUCUUGUCUCCGAGCAAAGAGGAGCAGUUGUGAGCAUGUGAUUUUUCCCUCGCUUGAAUUAUUCCUACAUAAUUCAUAAAAUUAGGAUUUUUCUUUUAAUUAUUUAAUUUUAGAAUUUAGUUGCAUAAUUUUGUGUUUGAUUGCAUUUUGUGUGCAUUUUAGUCUGUGUAAUUCAUAAAAAAUACAAAAAAAUAACACCUUUGCAUUUUGGAUUCAAUUUUAUAUUUUUAGUUUUAUUAGUUAAUUAAUAUUACCAAAAACAAGAGAAAAUAACAAAACUAGUGAUUUUAUAUUUUUAUUUUAGUUUUCUUUUUAAAUUGAGACUUAAUUAAUCUUAGAAAAAUUAAUUAGUUUAAUUUAGAAUUAAAAUCAGGUCUUUGUUCAUUUUUAUUUUUAUAUUUAACAAAAAUAAUAUAUAUAUAGGAGGGGGGGAGGUCAAAAGGGGGAGAAUAGCUAAGAACUCCCUGAAUUCCUAGAUGACUAAAAAAUAAAAAUUACUGUUUUAUUGAAAAAUCCAUAGAAAUUCCUUAUAUAUAUAAUAAAACGGUAAAGCUGGAAAUUCGAAGACCCUUUGUUUUGGGCCAAUUUACAAAUAAUUUGUGAGCCCAAAUCAGCCAAACCAUGUCCCCGACCCAUAUCCACACCCGGUCCAUCCCCAGCCCAAAACGACGCCGUUUGGACAAGCCGUAAUCAGAGCCAUCCAUUCUUGUUGAUCUAACAGUGAUGAAGCCGGGUAGGCUUCAUAUAUAAUGGUCUCCAAACACUCCUACCCCAAAAAGAGACCUGGUACCUUGUCUCAAAACUCCCUAAUAUAAGCCAGCACAUCGCCACCGUUCCUCCGCCAUCUCCCACCGUCCGCCGCCGGCCGGAAGGAUGCUCUGAUGACCCCUAAAACUACACCACCUCACCUCCUCGACCUCCUCUUUCCAUUUCUGCCAUUAGUGUCCUUCGAACAUUAGCCAGUCUCGGCGAAUAUUUUUUUGAAUCGACGGCUGCUCCGCCUCACAUGGAAGAGCCGGUGCCAAAUGACUCCAAACAAAAGUACCAUAGGUUCUCCUAACCUCCCUCAUCCCAAAUCUGUAAAGCCUAGCCGUCGAAUAUCAGCCGAGCUCCUCGAAUGUUAAAUUGAAAACUCCGACCAAAUCUCACCACCCUCCAAACCUCUCCAAAAUCAUACCCUAUGGUCUUCUUACCGCCUCACCCCAAAUUCCAAACUAAAAAUCCUCAAACCCGGUUGGAAUCACUCAAAUUUUGGAUCUAGGGUUUAAUUUUAAAGAGGUCUAACCCUGACUGGAUUUUUAAAUAUGCAAGUGAUCCCCAGUUAAUGUUAUUUGUUUGUUUUUGGCAAAUUAAACAUAUAACAUUAGCUUAGGAUCAAAUUCAAGGUCAAUCCAAGUUGCGACCUAAAAUAGUGAGUUCUGAUCCUUUUCUUUCUUUCUUUCUAUUUGCAUGUUUAUUCUGUUGUUCCUUUGUAUAUUUUCUUUUGCUCUUGGU